CCCCCUCUAGUAAAUAAAUUUUCUAGAUAGUUCGACUCUUAAGCUCUGCUAGGGUUUCUUCGCCUUCCUCAACUUUUAUUCCCUUUCUCCUCAGAUCCCGUUGUGUACUGGUCAUUAUGUCGUUAACCAUGAGUGUCUGCCCCACCCUUUAUGUACUCGGUUGUAGUUCCCUAUUUUCCUUCUCCAAAAGACCUACACCCACGCAGUUUGGGGCUGCUGAUGGAGAUUCUCUCUCUACCAUUAAUGCCCGAGUUAUUAGAGUAGUGUUCAUGGUCAGAUCCCCAUCACCUACUUUCUACCUUGCUGUCAAAGUCUUCACAAACCAACCCUUCAACAAGAAUGCUUUCCUUGACGGGGUCAGAUCUCUGUGGAAUUUCAAGCAGUGAAAGACCCAACAUCGAAGUUUCCACCUUCAAAUAAAGUAGACCGCUCAAACACUUGGAAGCCCCCUCCCCAUGGGCAGCUAAAGCUCAAUGUUGAUGUCGCCCAUUCCACCACACUUCACAGAAUGGGUUUUGGUGUUGUCAUUCAGAAUAGUGAAGGAGGAGUAGUGGCUGCCAUAUCCUCCCUUUUCGUCUAGAAAAUUCCCACCUUUAGUCAUGGAAGCCUAAGGACUCCUUCAUGCGCUACAAUGGUGUGCUUUAGAAUUCUUCCAAGUUACAUGUAUUAAAUCUUAUUGUAAAUUACUAGUAGAUAAUCUCCAUCGAACCACUUCCACUUAUCUAAUUCUGGAAGAGUUUGUUAGUGUAAUUAAACAAUCUUUGUCUUCCUUUCCUCAAGCUCAAGUUAGUUUCGUCAAUAGAGAGGAAAACUCAUUAGCCCAUGACGUUCCUAAAUUUGCUUUAGGCUUAGACAGUGAUCAUGUUUGGAUCGGGGAUGACCCUUUCCCUCUCUCUUGUAUCCGAACCUUUGUUGAUAAUUAUUAAUGGAUACCCUCCUGUUUAUUCAAAAAUAAAAAUACUUAUAGUAUACUU